rnacentral:rRNA from 1 species
GAUGAACGCUGGCGGCGUGCCUAAUACAUGCAAGUCGAGCGAACGGACGAGAAGCUUGCUUCUCUGAUGUUAGCGGCGGACGGGUGAGUAACACGUGGAUAACCUACCUAUAAGACUGGGAUAACUUCGGGAAACCUUAUCUAACACCGGAUAAUAUUUUGAACCGCAUGGUUCAAAAGAGAAAGACGGUCUUGCUGUCCCUUAUAGAUGGAUCCGCGCUGCUUUAGCUAGUUGGUAAGGUAACGGCUUACCAAGGCAACGAUGCAUAGACGACCCGGGAGGGAGGUCCGGCACACUUGGACUGGGGCAAGGGCCCGACUCCUACGGGAAGGAACAGGAGGGAAACAUCCGCCAAGGGCGAAAGCCUGGAGGAGCAACGGCGGGGUGGGUAUAGAGGUCUUCGGAUCGGUAAACUCUGUUAUGAGGGAAGAACAUAUGUGUAUGUAACUGUGCACAUCUUGACGGUACCUAAACAAAAAGCCACGGCUAACUUCGUG